ensembl:lncRNA
UUCCCCUCAUCUUCAUGUCCCCUGCUUCAUUCUUUCUGUCUUAUCGCCCCUGUUCUUGGGGCAGGACACACCUUCAAUGUCACCCGCUUUUUUAAGGAGUCUCUAAACCUGCCCCUCUUUCUCCCCGUCCCUCAUGUCCACCUCAUUUUUACCCCGUCCCUGCGUUCUGCCGACCCUUCCAGUGUGCCCCUUGACUCCCGGUUCUCCCGUACCCCUGUGCAGCUGAUCAGGGCUGGGCAGGUUGUGGGCCAGGACCCCCGGUACUGGGGCCUCAUCUCACUGGAGAGAAAUGGGACCGUAAACGAGGUGGUCAUCACUAGGCUGAGUGCCAAGCAUGAGGGGAUGUAUGAGAUCCGAGAUCAGGACGGCAACCUGGUUUCAUCCACCCUUCUCCAUGUGGUCGAUAAGACGGCCAGAUGGAGGACAGUGCUCAAGUCCAUCAGCGUUCCUUCUGGCAUGUUUGUGACUUUGGCUGGUUUCAUCUUGUUUAUGAAGCGCUACCCAAACUGCAGCCUCUCCAUGAUCAUCAAUGGCUUGAGAGGUCACCACACACCGGCAGCCAAUCCUCCCAGAGUCAAUGUCCAGGUGAGGGAAUGUUCUGGAAAUAAGCUGUGGAGUGAGAAAUGUGUGUGAGCUUGAUAUGUACAUGCAAUAGGGUGAGGUAGGUUCAUGAGUGCGUGUUGAAGGGUUUGUGUGUGUACAAAGCCAAGGGAAUGCCUGUGUGUUUGAUAUCCAUUCAGUUCAAACACACAGUCAGCACCCACUGUAAAAAAACAACUCCCAUGCAUGCAUAAUCUGACCCUGUUACAGGGCUGAGGUCGGAGUAAAAGUAGAACCAGUCUUUUGCUUCUGUGUGAAUCUCUUCCUGGAUUGGUCUCUUACACAUUUCAGUCUGGUCCAUGGUUACAAACCGUUGCAUGCGUCUCUGAGAAUGUUCUGUGUUUGGGUGGUUUGGUCUUUAUGCUGAAUAUACUGGUUGAGAUAUUGAAACAGUUGUUUUGGUUACAUCAUCUGCAGGAUUACAGUCAGCCCAACCCCUCGCCCUCUAGUUUCUAUGGUGAUUCACAGCAGAUAGGAAUUCCAAAAACAUGGAGCCCCAGUCCUGCAAUUUCGGUAGGUUGACUUUGAAAUUGUUCAUUUAGGCUCUUACAUAUGCUCUUUUUCCAUCCUUAAUUUUUAUAUUAUGUGACUUUCAGGGUUACACUCCAGUUGUGGAUCGUGUACCGUUUGUAGUGGGCCUUGGACCCCAGCCCUGCACUGUGCCAGUGCCAACACAGAGACAACAGGAGUCUGAAAGAGUUGAGGCAUCCUCUUCUCACACGCUUAGUAAAGAGGUAAAUACAUAAUGUUAUUGGUUUUUUGGAGGGUCUCACAAUGGGCAAUAAAGUGACAUCAUCUUCUUUCUUUUUAUCCUUGGCUUGCUCUUUCGUCUUAGGAACCUGUUGAUAGUGAGAUCUCGUUUUCUGUUGAUGGCGCCUCGAACUGCCUCCUCUCAUCGGACGACUGCCAUCAGUUCCAGAUCAAGAAAGAGGCAGACAAAGAGAGAGGGAGCAAAGAAUACUUCUCCACGCUUCCCCUGGACACCGAUACCUCAGAAACCUGCAGCGUUUACACUUCUGAAAAACUGAACUUCUUAUAGAGCCCUGAGAAGGACGAGAGUGGAAGAGAACAGGAGAGAAAAUGGAGAAAUGAAAAUGUUGAUGACUGAUUAUUCCACCAUAGUGCCUUUACUUUCAAAACCCUUUGUGGACCUGAUGGUAUUACUUAAAUAAUAUAUUUAUGAUAAUUUGAAUUAUCAUUAGGCAUUAGGUUGUCAGUGUCCUACAUUUUGGCACAUCGCCUGGAGAUCGCCUGUGAUGUUCCUAGAAUUCAAAUCUCCUAUGGUUUUGCUGCUACCUAACUCCGAACCCUCGGGACAAAACACUUGAACCUGUACUGUAAACUAUAGUCUGUAUAUUGGCUGUUUAUGUGUGUAAAUAUAUUAUUAUGUUAGGGCAGUAUAAGACAAGGAAUUAGUGGAUUUCAUAAUAAAAUAAAGGGAAUGGCCUCUCAAGUGUAUUUAACUGCAUGUGUUACCAACUUAUAAUUGAGUUAAUUAACACAAUCUAAGGAAGUAUUUAUUUUUUAGAAUAGAUAUUUUUCACAUAGAAUAUACAGAUUUGUGUGUGAUUGAUAAAAGUACAUUAUUUUCACCAUGUAUUCACAUUGUCUUGGAGGCUUUGUUGAAUAGAUUAUAAACACCUUAUCCAUAUCACUCUGAAAGGGUGUCAAUAUAUGAUGUUGAAGUCACAUUUAUGUUUUCUUGUCUAUUAACAUUUGUAAGUCAAAUAUCGUAUGAUAUGUAAAUAAAACGAAUGUAAUCAAUUCAAGUAGUCUUACGCCAAUAG